AGCGAACGCUGGCGGCAGGCUUAACACAUGCAAGUCGAACGCCCCGCAAGGGGAGUGGCAGACGGGUGAGGAACACGUGGGCACGUACCCUUUGGUUCGGACUAACUUGGGGAAACUCAAGCUAAUACCGGAUAAGCCCUUAUGGGGAAAGGUUUACUGCCGAAGGAUCGGCCCGCGUCUGAUUAGCUAGUUGGUGAGGUAAUGGCUCACCAAGGCGACGAUCAGUAGCUGGUCUGAGAGGAUGAUCAGCCACACUGGGACUGAGACAUGGCCCAGACUCCUACGGGAGGCAGCAGUGGGGAAUAUUGGACAAUGGGAGCAACCCUGAUCCAGCCAUGCCGCGUGAGUGAUGAAGGCCUUAGGGUUGUAAAGCUCUUUUACCCGGGACGAUAAUGACUGUACCGGGAGAAUAAGCCCCGGCUAACUUCGUGCCAGCAGCCGCAGUAA
rnacentral:rRNA from 1 species